CAUGGAAUUGGCCAUGCUGGGACGGGGUGGGGCCAACCAAGACGCCAACUAGCCAGCCUUUCUGGUAAGCCUGCGGUUUCCAGGAAGAGAAAGUCAGAGAGCACCUCCGCUGAGCCUACUGGCACCCAGGCUGAGAACCAACACCACCUGUCGCAUAAGCAACCGGCUGGUUCACAGGGCAGUCUGAGUUGAAGCAACUGAGACGUGGUAGCACAUGUAUAACCCCAGGACUUGGGCGGCUGAUGCAAGAGAAUCACUGUGAGACCUGCCCUACAUAAUGACAGCUUCUGGGAAGAUGGCAAGGUGCAGAACAUCACGGAAACAGCCUCUUUGAGCUUUGGUGUCCAGAUGGUAGAAUAUAGCAACAUGAGGAAGAAAAGGUGGGAAGUGAGUUGCUGGGAUCCAGCAAGGAGCUGAAAUGAGAAUUGAAACCCAUGGGGAGA